CGAAGACAUUCUUUGAGCCAUUUCAACAUUUUAGAGAUCUAAGAGGGGUAAUGCACUUGACCAUCUUGACGGUGUAGUGGUGCUUGAAAAACUCUAUGUAGCAUCCACUAGUGGCAGAGUAACAACACUAUUUGUCGGGAUGGCAGGUGAAAAGAGGGGUAAGAAAACAAAGAAGGCUAACGAGACAGCGGUUCCCCGGAGACCACCAAAAAACCUUGUGAUUAGAGAUAGAAGCCCGUCGCCAUGUCUCCCACCACGCGGCGCUCCAUUGCCUCAUGAUCCCCUCAUGAAUGGCAUUGCAUAUAGUCUUCCACCUCCGUACAGCUUUGGUCGGCCCUAUAUGUCUCCACGCCAGGGCUUUACUGAGGUGCCUCCCCAGAGCCCCUCGAUGAUGUCCACACCAGGUUAUGCUACCCCACAGGGCUUCACUCGGUAUACUUCCGGGUCUCAGCGGGCUUCGUCUAGUGGUACUCCGACGGCCACUCCCAGUCCAACUGCAUC